rnacentral:rRNA from 1 species
GGGUGCGUAACGCGUGGGAAUCUGCCCUUGGUGCGAAUACUCAGAGAAAUUUGAGCUAAUACCGGAUGAUGACGUAAGUCCAAAGAUUUAUCGCCCAAGGAUGAGCCCGCGUAAGAUUAGCUAGUUGGUGGGGUAAAGGCCUACCAAGGGCGACGAUCUUUAGCUGGUCUGAGAGGAUGAUCAGCCACACUGGGACUGAGACACGGCCCAACUCCUACGGGAGGCAGCAGUGGGGAAUAUUGGACAAUGGGCGAAAGCCUGAUCCAGCAAUGCCGCGUGAGUGAUGAAGGCCUUAGGGUUGUAAAGCUCUUUUACCAGGGAUGAUAAUGACAGUACCUGGAGAAUAAGCUCCGGCUAACUCCGUGCCAGCAGCCGCGGUAAUACGGAGGGAGCUACGUUGUUCGGAAUUACUGGGCGUAAAGCGUGCGUAGGCGGUGACUCAAGUCAGAGGUGAAAGCCUGGAGCUCAACUCCAGAACUGCCUUUGAAACUAGGUCGCUAGAAUCUGGGAGAGGUGAGUGGAAUUCCGAGUGUAGAGGUGAAAUUCGUAGAUUUCGGAAGAACACCAGUGGCGAAGGCGGUUCACUGGACCAGAAUUGAC